rnacentral:rRNA from 1 species
UACGUAGGCAGCAAGCGUUGUUCGGAGUUACUGGGCGUAAAGGGUGCGUAGGCGGCAUCUUAAGUCUGGUGUGAAAUCUCCCGGCUCAACUGGGAGGGUGCGCCGGAUACUGAGGGGCUAGAGUGUGGGAGAGGAAAGUGGAAUUCCAGGUGUAGCGGUGAAAUGCGUAGAUAUCUGGAGGAACACCGGUGGUGUAAACGGCUUUCUGGACCAUUACUGACGCUGAUGCACGAAAGCGUGGGUAGCAAACAGG